rnacentral:rRNA from 1 species
UACGAGGGGUCCUAGCGUUGUUCGGAAUCAUUGGGCGUAAAGCGUCUGUAGGCGACUUUGUAAGUCAGGUGUGAAAGCCCCGGGCUCAACCCGGGAAGUGCAUUUGAUACUGCAUAGCUUGAAUGUUGGAGAGGAUAGUAGAAUUCCAGGUGUAGUGGUGAAGUACGUAGAUAUCUGGAGGAAUACCGGUGGCGAAGGCGGCUAUCUGGCCAAACAUUGACGCUGAGAGACGAAAGCAUGGGGAUCAAACAGG